GUAGGGUGCGAGCGUUAAUCGGAAUUACUGGGCGUAAAGCGUGCGCAGGCGGUUUUGUAAGACAGGCGUGAAAUCCCCGAGCUCAACUUGGGAAUGGCGCUUGUGACUGCAAGGCUAGAGUAUGUCAGAGGGGGGUUAGAAUUCCACGUGUAGCAGUGAAAUGCGUAGAGAUGUGGAGGAAUACCGAUGGCGAAGGCAGCCCCCGUGGGACGUCACUGACGCUCAUGCACGAAAGCGUGGGGGGAGCAAACAGGAUUAGAUACCCUGGUAGUCCACGCCCCUAAACCGAUGUCAACUAGUUGUUGGGGAUUCAUUUCUUCAGUAACGUAGCUAACGCGUGAAGUUGACCGCCCUGGGAGUACGGUCGCAAGAUUA
rnacentral:rRNA from 1 species